rnacentral:rRNA from 1 species
GUGGGGAAUCUUAGACAAUGGGGGAAACCCUGAUCUAGCCAUGCCGCGUGAGCGAUGAAGGCCUUAGGGUUGUAAAGCUCUUUCAGCUGGGAAGAUAAUGACGGUACCAGCAGAAGAAGCCCCGGCUAACUCCGUGCCAGCAGCCGCGGUAAUACGGAGGGGGCUAGCGUUGUUCGGAAUUACUGGGCGUAAAGCGCGCGUAGGCGGACCAGAAAGUUGGAGGUGAAAUCCCAGGGCUCAACCUUGGAACUGCCUUCAAAACUCCUGGUCUGGAGUUCGAGAGAGGUGAGUGGAAUUCCGAGUGUAGAGGUGAAAUUCGUAGAUAUUCGGAGGAACACCAGUGGCGAAGGCGGCUCACUGGCUCGAUACUGACGCUGAGGUGCGAAAGCGUGGGGAGCAAACAGGAUUAGAAACUCUGGUAGUCC